rnacentral:lncRNA from 1 species
GCCAGGUUUACUUCACAAAACGCAUAUAGUUAUUACAAUAUUGAAUCAAAAGAUACAUAAAUAUCAUAUAUACAUUAAAAUAUAACAAAACAUGGUUGUUUGUUUGCUUUUUGGUCAUGAAUGUUUGUCCCUAAUAUUUUAUUAACUGUGCAUUUGCAUUCAGAUAUCACAGAUCAAAUCUAUUCGUUCCUAGUGUGGUAAUUUACGUUUUUUGAUUGAGUUAAGCCUGCCAAUUGAUAUUUAAUCGUGUGUUUUUCUAUGUCGUGAUGUUAUGCAUUUGUUUAAGAAAAAGGGAGCAGGUUUGGUACCAUUAAAACGUUUAAUCCCGCUGCAAAUGUUUGCACCUGUCCUAAGUCAGGAAUCUGAUGUACAGUAGUUGUCGUUUGUUUAUGUACUUUAUACGUGUUUCUCGUUUCUUGUUUUUUUUAUAUAGAUUAGACCGUUGGUUUUCCCGUUUGAAUGGUUUUACACUUAGUAAUUUUGGGGCCCUUUAUAGCUUGUUGUUGGGUGUGAGCCAAUGCUCCGUGUUGAAGGCCGUACAUUGACCAAUAAUGGUUUAAUUUUAUAAAUUGUUAUUUAGAUGGAGAGUUGUCUCAUUGGCACUCACACCACAUCUUCCUAUAUCUAUUGAUAUGCCUUAUGACAUUGCUCGUCAUUUGUCAUUCAUUCAACAUUUUUUUGAAUUUAUUCAUUUAUCAUUGAAUUGCUGUUUUAAAAAC